rnacentral:rRNA from 1 species
AUUGAACGCUAGCGGCAGGCUUAACACAUGCAAGUCGAACGAGCGGCGGACGGGUGAGUAAUGUAUGGGAAACUGCCUGAUGGAGGGGGAUAACUACUGGAAACGGUAGCUAAUACCGCAUACCAUCAGAUGUGCCCAUAUGGGAUUAGCUAGUAGGUGGGGUAAUGGCUCACCUAGGCGACGAUCCCUAGCUGGUCUGAGAGGCUGACCAGCCACACUGGAACUGAGACACGGCCCAGACUCCUACGGGAGGCAGCAGUGGGGAAUAUUGCACAAUGGGGGCAAGCCUGAUGCAGCCAUGCCGCGUGUAUGAAGAAGGCCUUCGGGUUGUAAAGUACUUUCGGCGGGGAGGCGUUAUCCGCAGAAGAAGCACCGGCUAACUCCGUGCCAGCAGCCGCGGUAAUUC